CCUCGGGAGGAGCCUGAAACCUGCUCAAGUGGGGCAGCGGCAGCCGCCACCCGUGACGAGCGCAGGCGAAGAUCUUAUCGGCAGAAGGAAGUUCUGAGCAGCUGGGCUGCUCUUCUCUGAAGCCACCGGAUUUACCAGUUUAUUGUCUCUCGUACUCCUGUCAUACGCUGCUGUGAAGAACCUGGCUCCUUCUCAAUGACCUUCUCAGAAGUACAGUCAGCCUGCUAUUACACCCCUGCUGAGACCAUCUCUUCUCCAGGGUGAAAAGGCCCAGUUCCCUCAGUAUCUCCUCACAGGGGAGGUGCUCCAGCCUGCAACAAUCUCAGUGGCCCUCUGGUGAACUCACUCCAGUUUGUCAAUGUUGUUCUUGUACUGGGAAGCACAGAACUGGACUCAGUCUGAAGUGCUGACUCAAGGUGGUAAAAUAAUUUCGCUCGAUCUGCUGGAUCUGUGCCUGUAAAUACAACCCAGGGUGCUGGUGGCCUUCUCUGCUGCCAGGGCGUGCUGCUGGCUCAUGGCUGCUUGCUGCCUUGCAAGACGUCCACAUCCUUCUCCGCAGCGCUGCUCCCCAGUUGGUGAAUGCUGAAAUACAGUAAGCACUGGUCAUCUGCCUAUAAGCAUCAUCUGCCUACCUUGCACUAAUGUCCAGCAGUUUCAGAAGUACCACACAGUGGGUCUAUUAUGAUAUUGCAAUAUGCAGUAAAAGGUAAUGGUAUUGCUAACUGAAAUCUGUGUUCUGUAUCUGUAAAACAAAAGCCACAUUUAAUUCUGGAAUCAUGGAAAGAUAAAAACUUUUACUUACCAUAACUGAGUUCAAGGGCAUUGUCACCAUAACUUCUAUUUACCCCCAGUAGUCCAUAGUGAAAUAGGUUUUUUUCCUUUAUGGUCCAAGAAGAACAAGCACAAACAGAGCCACGCCGAGGAUCCCAUCCCCCCAGAAACCCGCUCAGAAUCCAACCACAAGAAGAAAAAGAAGAAAAAAGAGGAGGAUCCAGAACAGAAGAGGAAGAAGAAAGAAAAGAGUUGACAUACUUGAUCAGUUUUGAUGCAGGUCAUCAGGAUGUUUAUGUGUACAUACAAAUUACCAAUGGAUUUUUAAAAAAAAUGCACAAAAAUUAAUCUCCUUCCCUUCCUCCUCCCACUCUCCCCAAAACCCCAACCAUGCUGCAACACCUUGUUUCUUAAAAUGCAUGUGUGUAAAGUAUGGAUAGAUAAGGUGAAAAACAGCUGGUACCCUUGAAAUAGCAUAGCUACUGUCCAGAAACAGUGAGACUCAAGAUACAGAAAGGAAAAGUGUAACAAUGCUACUAAGAAUGCUUCUUUUCAGUUCACCAUCUCAUUUAAAACAACAAAACAGCUACUUAAACAGGAUGUAGAUAACAUCAUCCCAAACGUCCCUUUGUAAACAUUUUCCAAGGAGGCAGUGAUUAGCUACUUCCUCCACAGGAUAUCUGUUUGUCAGCAGCAAGAGGCAAGACACCACUCACUAGAAAAUUAAGUGUAUUGUUUUAACCUUUUAAAAGUAGUUUUGCAGAUAAUUUUUUGUAGAUAUAACAGUCCCUUUGAAGUAUUGCAGGAUGAAAGUUAGGCUCACAGAAGUGGUUUACUUUUUCUGUUUAAUGUAAUAUUUACUUAGAUUUUUUCUGUUUAGCACAUAGCAGCUAAAUAUUACAGCGCUCCUUCAAGCUGGUAGGAAAUGUAGAUGUGAUUUGGAUGUGGUUUGUUUCUGACAGAGCUGCUUCAAAAUUUCCAAACUGAGAGGACAAAAUUUUAAUUUUACUGCUGCAGUGUUCAAGGCCAGUAUUAAUGAUUUUGCCCUUGUUAUUUGCAGUGAUUGUCAGUGGUAGGGAUUGUGUGAAGAAGCAGGAGUGGCAGGUGAGGUGAGAUGAGGAGUAAUCACAGGGGUUUCACAGGAGGUGGGUGUGUAGGAAGUAGAGUUUCUCUGCCCUUUCUGAUCUCAUCUGCAGGAGAGGAAACUUUUCCAAGGGGAUUUCACGCUGAAUUGCAGGUUUGUGCUGAUUUGAACUGAACACUGGAUUGAGUGCUGAAAAUGUAGGUGGACAUGAUGUGCCACAGAGAAAAGGCCUGUGCUCCUCCUCUGCUGAGGAACUGUCCUUUUGCACUGUUUUAAGGGAAAUGCUCUUUUCCCUUCUCAACAGGUUUUGCUUCCCCUCUCUCUGUUUCUUUCAGUAUGCUCAGUAUGUGAGUCAGCUGGGGAAGAGAGGAAGUGGGAGAAGAGGGGAGGAAGAGCAUCUUCUCUCAAACCCAUUCCAGCAACUCACUGGAGCCCUUGGUGCUGGGGGGUCAGAAAGAAAUAGAACAGGGCUGAGAAUAAAGGCAGUGUAGCUACAGAUAAUAGCAGUGCCUUCCAAGGGCUUUCUGCCUUCUGUUGUUAUUGAUACAACAAUUAACAGUAAGUCGAUCAGUAUUUAAAAGGAAAAAAAAUAGUCUUAGUUGUGAGCUGAAAAUGGUAAGUUUACCAGCCACACAUACGUAUGAAGGGAAAUAUUAAUCUUUCUGGGAUUCUGUUUGUCUCUCGUGUGCUCUCUCGUUCUCAAUUAGUCUGUAGACUUAUGGCUUGACCUGGAGGCUAUUUGCUCCACAUGUACUGCAGAAGAAAGAGUGGUUGACUGAAGAAUUUAUCUGAUGCCUUUUCAGUUGAACUGAACUGGUAUUUCUUAACAUAUUUGGAGCUAGUUAGAAAAAAUCACAUUUUUUACCAAGCUGCUUACAAAAAUUGUUACACACAACAGUCCUUUGUUGAAUUUCUACUUUGUCCCUGAAAAAUAUCAGGAUAGGUCAAUGCACUGGUCAGUCUUCAUAGUUCUUAGAGUUAUUAAGAAUGAAUGCAGAAAAUACCUUCAAAAGAUGGGUGACCAAAGCACCAGCAAAACUACGCUCAGACUCUAUAGGAGAAUACGUAAUACUCCUGUGUUGAUACCAUCGGGCUUCUACUUAGAUGAAGGGAAUGUAAAACCCGCUCCUCAGUCUGGUGGAUUUGAUAGACACUAUGCAAUAAAUUGUGUUGGGAACAGGAUCAGGCAGAUGAAUGCAAUCAAGAAAAUUUUAAGUGAGACAAUGGGCCAUCUUCAUCUGUGGUUCAUUGUGACUAGGUGUCAGAUGAAUACAGGGAAGUGUCAAUUACUCAGACCUAAAAUGACGCAAGUUUUCCUGAACUUCUAAGAUCUUUUCCUUCUCCUAGUUUUAUACCUCCUUAUCUUCCCAGCUUUAAAACAAUGUCUAUUGUUUCCUGUUUUAAACGACCACUCAGAAUAGCAAUAUUGUCAAGCAUUACCAUCCCUUUUCUGGAUUAGAAGCAUUAUCUAAUGCCAGCUUCAGUUUUAAUCAGGGACAGUAGCUAUAGCAGUACUGAACAGAAUGUAAUUGCUAAUAUAUACAUACCAAAACCAAUAUUCAGUACCAUAUCAGCCAUGACAUCAUUUGAAGGUAUUUACGCACCAAUUCAGCAUCAUUUAAACCCACUCUUAUUUUAAAAUGCCAAACAGGGACAGGCUGAAGAUUGAUGUGCUGAAAAUUAAUAUGGUUUAAAUUAGGAGCUCCUCAAGGGGCAAUGUUAAAGGGUUCUUGCAAAGCCCUAGCCCAAGUUCAUUCAGUUAGGUUCAGUUACUUAUUAUAGGUGUCUCUGUGAACAUCUAAUUUAGAAAACAAUGCACAGUUGUCAAGAUAUGCCGAGAGCCUUUAGUGCUAAGAUUUCUUGUAGUCAGGCUACAAGAGGGUUAGGUAAAGUAUCCAGACUUUUUGUAGCCUCAAUGGGAAGGUUCUUUUUCAAUAUUUUUAGUUUGCAGCUUUUUAUUUUGCCCCUUCAAUCAUCUGUAAAAAAAAAAAAGAGUUACAGUACUUUUCUUUAACACUUCUAAAAGCCUCUAAAAUCCUGUGGUAUAAACAUGAACAGUGAAGUCUUAUGGCAACCUGAAAAUAAUGCAGUAGUGAAAGUCAGAAAUUCUAUUUCUGUCUGAAAAGUGGUUGUUUAGGUGUGUUUUCUCUCUCCUAUCUACCUGUCCUAUUUUAUCACACCCAUGGAAUUUUGAAAGGAAGGGUAGUCAAUGUUUGUUCAGGGUGACUCACAGGUUAAAAAACCCCAAACUGUUGAGUGCUAUUUUUUUGUCAAAUACAAACACAUUUUAAAAUUUGGGUUUAAUCUUAGUGGAUCUAUCUUGAAAAGGUCAGAAAGCGAAGAGGAGGAGGGAAAAAUAUUGUCAAUGAAUUGUGUGAUUAAUGAGUCAGAGUAACGUAACUAGUAUUCUUAAUGCAGAUUGUUUUACAUCACUUUUAAUAACAUGCCAAAUGCUAUUAUUCUCACCAUCAGUUACAGAAUAUUAUUUAAUAUCUGUUUUAUUAUUGUUUUAUUAUGUAUUAAUCUGUUGUAUUAUGACAAAAAAGUUUAAUGCUUGUUUCCAUAGUAGAGAGAAAUGACAAUAAAGAAGGAAAACUGUGCUUAAAUGGACAUGUCAGAUUCUACCAAUAUUCAAUCACUAUUUUAACAAGGUGCGAACUGUUUGUGUUCAAACAGACAAGUUGUUAAAAGUGCUUUUGUCCAGUCUGUAGUUGCAGCAAUGAAAAAAUAAUUCAAACUCUUACACAAAAUAGGUUUGUAGAUCCCUCAGCUUUUUGGCAGGAUAGAUGGCAAAAAACAGACAGUAGCACCCUGUAGAAGUAAUUGCUGGUUGAGAUUCAGAACCUUAAACCUCUUUUACUUAGCUUUUAUGAUUUCUCCAACAGCCAGUGUAUUUAUGCACUAGUUACUGAAGAUUCAGUUUAACCCACCAGUGGGAAGCAUUCCUGUGCUAUGCUGACUACAACAUUGUUCAUUAUCAUUAGAAGCUGGGCAAGCAUGUAGAUGUGCUACGCUAAUAGUUGUGGUGACGAUGCUGUGAUAAACAGAUACAAUUUUAAUGUUUAACAUGCCUCUGUAGGAAGUUGUUCCCUUGGAGCUGUGUAUAUUACAAAACAUGCUUAGGUAUACUGCACAGGACUGAAAGAGUUAUUUCAUUUAUUUUUAAUUCUGUUUUUCUCUGUUAUUUUCACUGCCUGUAUUUACAUAGAUACAGUUCAAGUUAAUAGGUAACCACCUUUUCAAGCA